AUUGAACGCUGGCGGCAGGCCUAACACAUGCCAGUCGAGCGGAUGAAGGGAGCUUGCUCCUGGAUUCAGCGGCGGACGGGUGAGUAAUGCCUAGGAUUCUGCCCGGUAGUGGGGGAUAACGUCCGGAAACGGGCGCUAAUACCGCAUACGUCAUGAGGGAGAACGUGGGGGAUCUUCGGACCUCACGCUAUCAGAUGAGCCUAGGUCGGAUUAGCUAGUUGGUGGGGUAAAGGCGUACCAAGGCGACGAUCCGUAACUGAACUGAGAGGAUGAUCAGUCACACUGGAACUGAGACACGGUCCAGACUCCUACGGGAGGCAGCAGUGGGGAAUAUUGGGCAAUGGGCGAAAGCCUGAUCCAGCCAUGCCGCGUGUGUGAAGAAGGUCUUCGGAUUGUAAAGCACUUUAAGUUGGGAGGAAGGGCAGUAAGUUGAUACCUUGCUGUUUUGACGUUACCAACAGAAUAAGCACCGGCUAACUUCGUG
rnacentral:rRNA from 1 species